GCAGUUAGCACUUGGCACAAGGCAAGAAGGCAAGGCAAGAACGAAGAGAACUAGAGAAGUAGCUGACCGGUCAAACUGUGAAAAAAAGAGAAAGAAGAGAGAAUAGGAGAAAAAAACCAGAAGAAGAGAUUGCGAGAUGCAGCAGUGAAACAUUAAAAUAAAUAAAAGCGAAGCCAACGGAGGAACAGAAGAAACGUUAAAAACUAUUACGAAAGAAUCAAAACUCUCCUCUAUUUCUCUCUUUCUUUUAUUAAUAUUAAAUAAAAAAAUGAAAUUCUUUUUUAAAUUCAUUGGUUGCGAUGCUGAAAACGCUCGAAAUACGAUUUUAGAUAACCAAAAAACACCUUUUUCUCUCUCUCUCAGAGACCUCACAGAAACUUUUAAAGAUUAUUAUUUAGAGAUAAGGAUGAAUAAUUUGUAAACAGUUUCAUUGAUUUAGAUAAGCUGAGAGCUGAUUUUAUCUUUUGAGGGAAAGAGUGAGUGAUCUGAUUGGUUUUGGAAGCGGAAUUCGAAGAAGAGUUGUUGGAUUUCAGGCGCGAUUUAAGGACGCACGCUGUUUACAAUGGUGUUCAGAGACACACUUAAGGAACCCAAACUGAAGGUGGAAGGGGCUGGUUGCGAUUCACCAGUAACUGUUAGUUUGCAGAAUUGUGUUGCAUCUCAACUUUCUGCGUACUUGGAGGAAGACUUGGGAUUUUCCCAGAAAAAUUUGCAGUCAUUGGCUUCCAUUCUGCUAUCUAGUAAUGUUAAUCCCAAAGAUAUUGAGAAAGGGUUGCUUGAAAGACAGAUGCUUGGUUUUGAUUUGGAGCAGACACUGUUAAAGGAAAUAGGACCUUCAGUUGUGGCAAGAACUGGAGAGAAUCAUGAUGCCCAAGCAUCGGAUGAUAGUUUUUUGCCUGGUCUACAUGAAGACACAGCAUUAGAUAUCUUGGCUUGGAGCUGCAGGUCAGAUUACCCAAUUCUGGCUUGCGUGAAUAAAAAAUUCAAAGCACUGCUUGGAAGUGGAUACUUGUAUAGAGUGAGACGGCGGCUUGGUGUUAUUGAACACUGGGUUUAUUUAGCCUGUAUUUUAAUGCCCUGGGAAGCUUUCGAUCCUGUGAGGCAAAGAUGGAUGCGAUUGCCUAGGAUGCCAUGUGAUGAAUGUUUUACUUAUGCAGAUAAGGAAUCUCUUGCAGUAGGGACUGAAUUACUUGUUUUUGGUCGUGAGCUGUCAGGAUUUGCUAUCUGGAUGUACAGCUUGCUUUCUCAUGAAUGGUCUAGAUGCCCUCCUAUGAUCCUACCUCGUUGUCUGUUUGGUUCAAGUAGCCUUGGAGAAAUUGCCAUUAUUGCUGGGGGAAGUGACAAGAAUGGACGCAUUCUAAGAUCUGCAGAGCUUUACAAUUGUGAACUGGGUGAAUGGCAGAAUUUGCCAGAUAUGAACUUGCCACGAAAGCUGUGUUCAGGCUUCUUUAUGGAUGGAAAAUUUUAUGUCAUCGGGGGUAUGUCAAGCCAAACAGAAUGUUUGAAUUGCGGCGAGGAGUAUAACCUUGAGACAAGAGUAUGGAGGAGGAUACAAAACAUGUACACUGUUUCCAGUGUGGGUCAUCCUGCCAUGCGUUCUCCACCUCUAGUUGCUGUUGUAAAUAAUCAACUUUACUCCGCUGAUCAAGCAACAAAUGAGGUAAAGAAAUAUGACAAGAUCAAUAAUUCAUGGAGUGUGGUGAAGCAGUUGCCAGUGAGAGCUGACUCUUCUCAUGGUUGGGGAUUAGCAUUUAAAGCAUGUGGUAACAGCUUAUUAGUGAUUGGAGGGCAUAGAGGUCCUGAAGGUGAAGUUAUUGUGUUGCAUUCUUGGGAUCCACAGGAUAGAAGUAUGGACGGGCCACAAUGGAAUGUUCUUGCUGUCAAAGAGCAAGCAGGUGCUUUUGUGUACAACUGUGCAGUAAUGGGAUGCUAAUGUUUGGGCACAUACUUGUCUUUGGUGCAAACUUUGACUUGUGUGUGUAAUCAAAUGCUUGAUUGGGGAAGGUGACACUUUUUCUCUCGAGAGAUCAUUGUCCUUCCUAUGGCAGAAUUAUGUUGCAGAGCUAGUGGGGAAAGGGAAAGGGGAAGGGCAUGGCAUGGCAUGACACAAAUCCAAGAUAUAUUUGCACUUUGGCAGCAAGCCAAUGCCACCAGAUUACAAGACUGGUAGUUUUCUCUUUUCUUUUUUAAUUGUCUAAUUAGCCACUAUGUUGUAGAGUUCUGAAGACCCAUGAGAGUUUUAACAUAAUAUUGUCUAAAGAAUUCCCCUUGUGACUGUUUAAACUGAAAUUGAAUCAAUGAUUGGUCUGGUCCAA